rnacentral:misc_RNA from 1 species
CAGAUUGUUAUCACAAUCUCUCUAUUAUUCUCUCCCCUUUGUGCACCUUAUUGCAUGGGCUUAGUAGUGGUCUGUUGUAGUGACACAGAAGUGGUACUACACACUGCAAAAAGCUUAUGUGAUUUUACUUCAAAUACUAUACACUAUCUGUAUGGCAUUGUUGUGCAUAUUUAUGAGCAUAAUGAAAUAUA